rnacentral:lncRNA from 1 species
AUAAUUGCCUAUAUACCCCUUAAAACUUAAAAAAUUUCUAAUUUGCCCCUAUUUUUUUUUAUUUUCAAUAUACUUCUCAUAUGUUUCUCCGUUAUUCAAAAAUAUUCAUGCUUAAACGCAAGUUAAAUGUCUAACAGAGUUAAAAAAAUCAAAAUACCUCUUUUGUCCUUAACUUAAGAACAAAUAAGAAAAGUUGGUGAUGGUAAAAGAAUAUUUUUGAAAAAACCAAAAAUUAAAAUACUUCUAUUGUCCCUAACUUAAGAGCAAAUAAGAAAAGUUUGUGAUGGCAGAACGACAUAUUUAAAAAGGCAAAAUAGUAAUUUUAUAGAGAUAACGGAUAUUGCUAAUAGUUCACUAACAUAAUUUAACUCUAGCAGUAUAUUUGAAAUAACUUGGAACAUAAAAGAGUAUUUUUAAUAUUAGCCCUCUAAGGCUUCGUUUGGAAUUGCGGGGAGAUUGCGUUCCGUACAUAAUAUUACGUUCCACAUAUUGCGAUUCGUCGGUUACGAUAUAUUUUCUGUUGUUCCAUCGAAGAACGCAGAAGCAUAUCCCUAUUUGCUUUUACUUCAACUCUAUUUUAUCUAAUAACAUUAGAUAGACAUCAAUACCAAACUAAGACUUAAGAGAGAUAAAUUAGAAAGUUGAAAAUUUUUUAGGAGUAUAUGAGCCGUCACCCCUAAUAUUAAAAUGGCAGAAUAAGACAAAAUAGGGUCCACAAU